GAGAGAGGGGCUUACCUGAAUUCAAGAAGCAGGCUUCCUACUAUCUUCUGAUUGGAACCCGGCAGCUGCAGUGGUGGCACUUUAAAAUACUGCCUUCUUGAGUGUUCUGCUCCAAGUGAGAAUGGUAGUACCGUUGGAGCAGUACUAAUUCCAGUACUAAUCCUUCAUCAGUUUAGGAGCCUAGCCAAGUGCCCAAGCUCACCACACUCUGAUCCCAGCCAUAGUGGGUUGGACCCAAUGUCGCCCUCUGACAGUGGAAGCCGGGAGAAGGAGGGGAAAUAUAAGGGGUUGCCUCACCUCAUGAUUGGCCAGUGAAUGAUCUUAGUCUGUUCUAGUAGCACAGCUUUAAACCUUCAUAAAUCCAUGGAAUCAUCACACUCAAGAACAACAGUACAGCUUCUACUAUUAGCUUCCUACAUUUGUUGUUCUCUCUUGUAAAUUCCAGUUCUGAGCAGUGUACAGUUGCUAGAGGAUGACUGUGUUACAAGUGAAAUUCAGCACACUCCUGAUGUCCCAGCAGACCCCAGUUCAUAUUAUCACUUCAAUGUAUGAGUGCAUAUAAUUCCACCACCUGUACAAACUACAUGCCUAUCUGUUAAUACCAUGCUUUAUGUUCUUUCAAGUUUCCUUAUGCAGCAGUGCACCACUAUGAGGUGAGGUGAGGCGAGGCAACAGCCUCAGGCAGCGAGGGGGGUAGAAGGCCUGGAGAGUGGGGACAGCACGGGUCAAUGAGGUGAGAAGAAAGCACCAGAAUUGUGGUGGGGCAGCGGAGGCACGUGAGGCGAUUCCCACAGUGUGGGAGGGGGAAGGGUGCCCACACUCAUCACUCCAUGGUUUGCUGCCUGAGGCCAUUGCCUCACCUGGCUCAUGAGGGAGCCACCCCAGUCCAGACCGGAUCAACAGGUGUCAGACAUAAACAAAUAAAAGAGUGCCUUUCUGUGAGGGGCAUUUCUGACUAUAAUAGCUGCCAGUCUUUAUUUCACUAACAUAAGCAGCCUGACAUGUGUAUGGAGUCAUUAUCUGAGAAUGUUUUCUGAAAAGUGCAGGGAUGAGCAAAUUGAUUCGAAUCUGAAUCAAUUUGACUCAAAUCUUGGUGAUUUGAGUGAUUCGAAUUCGAAUCAAAUCACCCCUUAAAAGGGUGAUUUGAUUUGAAUUUGAAUCUUCAAAAUUCAAUUUGAAUUUAAUCCAAGAGGCAUUUGGCACCUUGUGUCAUGCACUGGAGAGGAGUGGGGGGCAGGUGACUUAGAAGAAAGUGGGGAGGUACCUGAGGAGGAGCUGGCCAGUAAUGUGAAUGGGGAGGUAAUUGAGACAGGCCAGGGCAAGUGUUUGGCACAGCAGGGGCCAGCAGGGCCAGGUGAUCUUUGGAGAGAAGGGUCAGGAUCUGAGCCAAAGAUUGAAUGGCCACUAUCUCCUUGAGAACGCAGAUAGGAAAAACGUAAGCAGCAGGUGAGGAAUUAUGGAGGAGUAGUUGGCUGUUGAGAAGACAGGAACUGGAUUGAAUCUAUGGCAGCUGGCAGGGGUGGAGUGUUGAUUAAUUGCAUGUGGCUGCUGACUAUAAAUCAGGCAGCCUGUGCCUUGAACAAACUGCUGGAGACAACACGUCAAAUCUGCUUGGAGCUUUUGUCGGAGAGAUUGUGACUUUGGCAUUUGGGCUUCUCACGCCUCACUUCUGUAUUCUUGGUGAGACUGUUAAACCUGAUUAUUUAGCAGUAAAACUGAAACUUGAGCUACUGGCUAUUGUGUCAUAUAUUUCUGGCCAGCGUCUUCUAUCGAGUGAGCUCAUGACCCUUUUAAAAACCAUUCAGGCCUCCUGAUUGUUUAAGAAAGCUGCCAAAACAGGGUCAAAUCGAUUCAAAUUUGAUUCACAUUUGAAUUGAAUUUCCAGACAAGAUUCUAACUUGAUUCAAAUUUGAAAUGAAUUUUCAGAAUUCAAUUUGAAUUUGAAACAAAUUGAAAAAUUUGUUCCGUGAACAUCUCUAGAAAAGGGUCCUUGAGAGGAACACUUAAAUUAGGAGAUGAUUUCAGAUUCUAUGAGAGGAUGCCCUGAAAUUAAGGGUGAAUUUCAGUUUCUCCUUGGGGGAACUCUGAAAUCCCAGAAAUUUGGAGAUGAUUUCCACUUUGGAAAAUUUUCUCCACAUCCCUUGU